rnacentral:rRNA from 1 species
AUGAAAGGAAAGCAAGCCAUUAGUGCAACUCUUUUCAUGUCAUUUCUAGUUAUGGUGACCAGAGGAAAAGAUGUUCAAUACAAAAGGCAAGAGGAAGACAAUACCCAGAUUCUCAGUUAUCACCGAGUUAAUAAAACCAUUGUGAUGCAACCAAAUUCUUUCCCUGUUUGGAUGGAUAUCCAAACAUUGCCUUCAGAUGAACCAUCUACCAUUGAGUGCCCAACGGGAACAAUCCCAAUACUGCAUACUAAUGGAAGUGACACCAUAGCAGCACAUAGUUACGAUGGGCAAUUGGAGUCAGCGGGACUCAUAUACCAGGGUGAUGUAUAUGGGGUGCGUGGUGUAUUAAAUGUUUGGGAGCCAAAGGUGAAUAAAUAUAGUAAGGAUUCUAGUGCAAUGUGUGUAGAAAUGAAAAGUGGAGGAGAACAACACACUGACAUGAUUGGUGCUGGUGUUCGGGUCUUUCCAACAUUGAGUGGCGAUACUUUUGUUAGAUUUCAUAUUUCUUGGUAUGAUGUCCUAUACAAAAAGUCAUGCAUUGACUUCAGUUGUCCUGGUUUUGUGCAAGUUAGCCAUAGAGUUGGUCUUGGAGCAAGAAUACGAUCACCCUCUGUUUAUCGUGGAAAGCAGACAGUAAUACACAUUCAAAUUUUCAAGGACCCUGUGUCUAAGAACUGGUGGUUGACUUAUGAGCAUGUAGCAAUUGGAUAUUGGCCAAGUGCAUUAUUCGAAUUCCAUAGGAACAAAGGUGACGCAGCAUUCUGGGGUGGGAUUGUUGAGGGGCCGACUGCCUCGUCAAACUCUCCGCAAAUGGGUAGUGGACAUUUUGCUUCGGAGGGAUAUGGAGGAGCAGCUUUCGUAAAAAAUAUCCAGCUUGCGAAUAAUGAGAAGGGCUAUUUUGACACUCCAAAUAAUUCUCAAGUGCGGCCUGAAUCAAGCGAUAAAUCCAAAUAUACUGUGGAAAGAUUUGAAUAUAGUAAAUAUGUAGGUAUGCGUAUCUUUUAUGGUGGAUUAGGGUCUGAUAAGGCCUACUGA